rnacentral:misc_RNA from 1 species
UGGUUCCGGCAUNGAUGAAGAACGCAGCGAAAUGCGAUAAGUAAUGUGAAUUGCAGAAUUCAGUGAAUCAUCGAGUCUUUGAACGCACAUUGCGCCCUCUGGUAUUCCGGAGGGCAUGCCUGUCCGAGCGUCAUUACUGCCCUCAAGCCCGGCUUGGUGUUGGGUGCCGUCCCCUUGGGACGCGCCUGAAAGGCAGCGGCGGCACUGCGUCUGGUCCUCGAGCGUAUGGGGCUUUGUCACCCGCUCCGUAGGUCCAGCCAGCGCCUGUCGAACCCCCCAUCAUCCUUCUUAGGUUGACCUCGGAUCAGGUAGGGAUACCCGCUGA